UUUAUGGGGGGGGCUAGGAUGAAAUUUGAAAAAAAUAGGCAGGACAGGAGUUUUGAGUUAAAAAAAGGCAGGAUGAGCAACUUGGUAAAAAAAAAAAAGGCAGGAUGACAAUUUGUGUAAAAAAAGUCAGGAUAACUAGUAAAAAAAAAGCAGGACCGAAUAAAGUAAAAAAUAAAAAGGCAGGACAGAGAUUACAACUAAAAAAAAAAGCAGGAC
rnacentral:lncRNA from 1 species